UACGUAUGUCCCGAGCGUUAUCCGGAUUUAUUGGGCGUAAAGCGAGCGCAGACGGUUGCUUAAGUCUGAAGUGAAAGCCCACAGCUCAACUGUGGAAUGGCUUUGGAAACUGGGCAACUUGAGUGCAGUAGAGGUAAGUGGAACUCCAUGUGUAGCGGUGGAAUGCGUAGAUAUAUGGAAGAACACCAGUGGCGAAGGCGGCUUACUGGACUGCAACUGACGUUGAGGCUCGAAAGUGUGGGUAGCAA
rnacentral:rRNA from 1 species